GCCCAGAUGGUGAAAUUGGUAGACACGCCAGCUUGAGGGGCUGGUGCCGGUUUUCGGCGUGCAAGUUCGAGUCUUGUUCUGGGCACAA
rnacentral:tRNA from 1 species